rnacentral:rRNA from 1 species
UACGGGGGGAGCAAGCGUUGUUCGGAUUUACUGGGCGUAAAGGGCGCGUAGGCGGCCACUGCAAGUCAGUUGUGAAAUCUCCGGGCUUAACCCGGAAAGGUCAGCUGAUACUGCAGGGCUAGAGUGCAGAAGGGGCAACUGGAAUUCUCGGUGUAGCGGUGAAAUGCGUAGAUAUCGAGAGGAACACCUGCGGCGAAGGCGGGUUGCUGGGCUGACACUGACGCUGACAGCGCGAAAGCUAGGGGAGCGAACAGG